UACGAGGGGUGCAAGCGUUGCUCGGAAUUAUUGGGCGUAAAGGGUAGGUAGGUGGUCUCAUUUGUCUGGGGUGAAAAGCCUUGAGCUUAACUCAAGAAGUGCCCCGGAAACGGUGAGACUAGAGUCCUGGAGAGGGUCGUGGAAUUCCCGGUGUAGCGGUGAAAUGCGUAGAGAUCGGGAGGAACACCAGAGGCGAAGGCGGCGACCUGGACAGGUACUGACACUCAACUACGAAAGCGUGGGGGAGCAAACAGG
rnacentral:rRNA from 1 species